rnacentral:sRNA from 1 species
GUUGAUGGGUAAAAGUGGGUCUGGUAAGACCAGCAUGAGGUCUAUUAUCUUUGCAAAUUAUAUUGCCAGAGACACACGUCGCCUUGGCGCAACAAUUGAUGUAGAACAUUCUCAUGUUCGAUUUCUGGGAAACCUGGUAUUGAACCUGUGGGAUUGUGGUGGGCAAGACACCUUCAUGGAAAAUUAUUUCACUAGCCAACGGGACAACAUCUUCCGAAAUGUGGAGGUUCUGAUUUAUGUCUUUGAUGUGGAGAGCCGCGAACUGGAAAAGGACAUGCACUAUUACCAAUCAUGCCUGGAGGCCAUUCUGCAGAAUUCUCCAGAUGCCAAAAUAUUUUGCUUGGUACACAAAAUGGAUCUGGUACAGGAGGAUCAACGGGACCUGGUAAGAAACAGAAGAAGUGCUGCACCAAAUGCUCGACAUGCUUUGCAAACUUAUUUUGUAGAGGUAUAGGUAAAUUUGUACCAUUUUUUCAGAAAUAAAAAGUCAGCAGAAGUUUUCAAAGU